GUCCACGCCGUAAACGAUGGGUGCUAGUUGUCGUGGGUAUCGACCCCUGCGGUGACGAAGCUAACGCGUUAAGCACACCGCCUGGGAAGUACGGCCGCAAGGCUAAAACUCAAAGGAAUUGACGGGGGCCCGCACAAGCGGUGGAGCAUGUGGUUUAAUUCGAUGCAACGCGCAGAACCUUACCUAGGCUUGACAUGUCUGGAACCCUGGUGAAAGCCGGGGGUGCUCGCAAGAGAGCCAGAACACAGGUGCUGCAUGGCUGUCGU
rnacentral:rRNA from 1 species